rnacentral:snRNA from 1 species
AUUGCUUCUUGGCCUUUUGGCUAAGAUCAAGUAUAGAAUCAUCCAUUCAGCCAUGACCUGAGUUUUUCCAUUUGGAUAUUUGACUAAACAACUCCAGUCAGCAAGCAGGUCUGAACCAUAUUCAUUUUCUUGCUUCUGAAAUCAGUUGCUGAAAAUGACAUUUGAAUCCUAA